rnacentral:rRNA from 1 species
UACGUAGGGUGCGAGCGUUAAUCGGAAUUACUGGGCGUAAAGCGUGCGCAGGCGGUUUGUUAAGACAGAUGUGAAAUCCCGGGCUUAACCUCGGGAACUGCAUUUGUGACUGGCAAGCUAGAGUAUGGCAGAGGGGGUAGAAUUCCACGGUGUAGCAGUGAAAUGCGUAGAGAUGUGGAGGAAUACCGAUGGCGAAGGCAGCCCCUGGGCCAAU